rnacentral:rRNA from 1 species
UACGGAGGGUGCAAGCGUUAAUCGGAAUUACUGGGCGUAAAGCGUGCGCAGGCGGUUUGUUAAGUCUGUUGUGAAAUCCCCGAGCUCAACUUGGGAAUUGCAAUGGAUACUGGCAGGCUGGAGUAUGGUAGAGGAAGGUGGAAUUCCCGGUGUAGCAGUGAAAUGCGUAGAGAUCGGGAGGAACACCAGUAGCGAAGGCGGCUCGCUGGGCCAUUCCUGACGCUGAGACGCGAAAGCUAGGGGAGCGAACAGG